UAGAGAUAGCUGGUUAUUCAAGAAAAGGAUAUUAGUCCAACUUUAAGCUUUUAAAUAACACCAAUAUAUUAAUAAACUUAAAAUUUAUUCAAAUAAGGUACAGCCUAUUUGAAACAGGAUACAACCUACAACAGCGGGUACAUCUAAAUAAAUGUAAUAAAGUAGGCCUAAGAGCAGCCACCUUUUAAAUAGCGUCAAAGCCUCAUUACACCCCACUAUUAAUUCCAACCUAAACCAUAAACCCCUUACCAAUAUUGAAUGACUCUAUAAUUAUAUAGAAAACUUUAUGUCUGAACUAGUAACAAGAAUAACUUCUCCACAACGUAAAUGUAGGCCGGGGUGAACCCCUCACCGGCACUUAUCGCCAAUGAACUUAUAGUAAUAACCAAACAAGAAAACCUUACUAUUUUAGGCGUUAACCUUACACUAGAACUCUCCUGGAAAGAUUAAAAAAAGAGGAAGGAACUCGGCAAAUAUUUAUCCCGCCUGUUUACCAA
rnacentral:rRNA from 1 species